GACGAACCGUCCAAACGUUAUUCGGAAUCACUGGGCUUAAAGGGUGCGUAGGCGGCGCGGUAAGUUGGGUGUGAAAUCCCUCGGCUCAACCGAGGAACUGCGCCAAAACUACCGUGCUCGAGGGAGAUAGAGGUAAGCGGAACUUAGGGUGGAGCGGUGAAAUGCGUUGAUAUCCUAAGGAACACCGGUGGCGAAAGCGGCUUACUGGAUCUCUUCUGACGCUGAGGCACGAAAGCUAGGGUAGCGAACGGG
rnacentral:rRNA from 1 species